UAUAGAUAUAAAAUGGUUUAACUUGAGUAGUAUUUGUUAUGGCCUUGAAACUUAAAGAAUUUGGCGGUAUUUUAGUCUAUUUAGAGGAAUCUGUCCCGUAAUCGAUAAUCCACGUUGAACCUUACUUAAAAUAUUAGCAUGUAUAUCUCCGUUGUUGAAAAUCUUUUUAGAGUAAUUUCUUAAAUUUUAAUUAGUAAAUAUUUCAGGUCAAGGUGCAGCUUAUGAUUAAGUGGUGAUGGAUUACAUUAUUAUUUAAAUAAAUGGAUAUUUAUUAGUAUUAAAUAAAUUGAAGGUGGAUUUAAUAGUAAAUUUUUGUAGAUUAUUAAGUUGAUUGAAGCUCUAAAAUGUGU
rnacentral:rRNA from 1 species